rnacentral:tRNA from 1 species
UUCUCAUUAGCUCAAAGCAGAGCCGGGUACUUCUAAUAUUCAGAUUUUAGUUCGAGUCUAAAAUGAGAAU